rnacentral:rRNA from 1 species
AACGAACGCUGGCGGCGCGCCUAAUACAUGCAAGUCGAGCGAGAAGGUGUAGCAAUACACUUGUAAAGCGGCGAACGGGUGAGGAAUACAUGGGUAAUCUACCAUCGAGUGGGGAAUAACCAACCGAAAGGUUGGCUAAUACCGCGUACGCCUCCGAGUCUUCGGGUUCGGAGGGAAAGCUGCACUGUGAGUGUAGCGCUCUUUGAUGAGCUCAUGUCCUAUCAGCUUGUUGGUAGGGUAACGGCCUACCAAGGCUUUGACGGGUAGCUGGUCUGAGAGGACGAUCAGCCACACUGGCACUGCGACACGGGCCAGACUCCUACGGGAGGCAGCAGUAAGGAAUAUUGCGCAAUGGGCGAAAGCCUGACGCAGCGACGCCGCGUGGGGGAUGAAGGUCUUCGGAUUGUAAACCCCUUCGGGAGGGAAGAUGGAACGAGCAAUCGUUCGGACGGUACCUCCAGAAGCAGCCACGGCCAACUUCGUGCCAGCAG